rnacentral:rRNA from 1 species
GAUGAACGCUGGCGGCGUGCCUAAUACAUGCAAGUCGAGCGAACAGACGAGGAGCUUGCUCCUCUGACGUUAGCGGCGGACGGGUGAGUAACACGUGGAUAACCUACCUAUAAGACUGGGAUAACUUCGGGAAACCGGAGCUAAUACCGGAUAAUAUAUUGAACCGCAUGGUUCAAUAGUGAAAGACGGUUUUGCUGUCACUUAUAGAUGGAUCCGCGCCGCAUUAGCUAGUUGGUAAGGUAACGGCUUACCAAGGCGACGAUGCGUAGCCGACCUGAGAGGGUGAUCGGCCACACUGGGACUGAGACACGGUCCAGACUCCUACGGGAGGCAGCAGUAGGGAAUCUUCCGCAAAGGGCGAAAGCCUGACGGAGCAACGCCGCGUGAGUGAUGAAGGUCUUCGGAUCGUAAAACUCUGUUAUUAGGGAAGAACAAAUGUGUAAGUAACUAUGCACGUCUUGACGGUACCUAAUCAGAAAGCCACGGCUAACUACGUG